GAGGGUAUAGUUCAGUGGCAGAGCACAUGCCUAGCAUGCCCAAGGUCCUGGGUUCAAUCCCCAGUACCUCCA
rnacentral:tRNA from 1 species